GUCCUGGACGAGUCCCAAACAGGAAGAAACGCGCGUCCUGGAU
rnacentral:hammerhead_ribozyme from 1 species